GGGACUACAGGCGCCCGCCAUCACGCCCGGCUGCUUUUUUUGUUUUAGUAGAGAGGAGGUUUCACCGUGUUAGCCAGGAUGGUCUCAAUCUCCUGACCUCGUGAUCCGCCCGCCUCGGCCUCUCAAAGUGCUGGGAUUACACGCGUGAGCCACCGCGCCUGGCCUGAAGAAAGAAGUCAUUAAAGAAGCAACCCAUGGCAAAACUAGUUAUUUUCUUAAAACAGUAGGAAGAAGAAAAGCUUUUUGAAUGAAUCACUUCUCAUCUUCUCCGAAGUUGGAAGCAUCAAGAAUCUAAAUAAGCAUUUAUGAUGGCUGGCAUGAAUAUGCGGAAGAUAGAAUGGGAGUCCUAGUUGACCUUCAUAUAAUUUUUAGAAGAUGGAGCACUUCAACUUCUUCCACUCAUGAAAAGAGAGGUGACAGGUGAAGACAGAACAAGAAAACAAACCAAGAAUUUCCCCUCACCAGCCACCAGCUCUGCCAGCAACUUGAUCUUAGACUUCCCAGCCUCCGUAACGCCUCUGCUUAUAAUCUGUCAUGGAUUGGAAAACUAGAAAAAACAGUUUACAGAGUAUAACAAACUUUGGAGGAGUUAAUCGACUCUAAGUAAAAGAGUAUCUAGCACGGCUGUGGAACAAAGGAGAGACUCACAAACUGUUGAAAGAAUAAAUGAAUGAAUGAAUUCUGUUCAUGAGCUUUAAUAAAACAGCUCUGAGUAGUAACAGUGGAUCAAAUUUAGGCUUCUUGAUGCAGGCAUGGUGUAGAUUACUACUUCUGUAUUGUCCCAGGAGCUCAGCACAUUCCUGCAGAGAUGAUAGGAGCUCAUCUGAUACUUGUCAGCUUUGAAUAAACUCCAGUCCCCAAGAGAGAGAAUGAGAAUCACCGGAAUACGAAACUUCCCUGUUGGACUUCCCAACAUUCUUGAAUGCACCAAGAUAGCCUCUUGCUGUGAGAUUAAUAAAUGAAUAAAUGCCUCCAUAUUUUUCAAAUCUGUGAAGUUAACAACAUGUAGAUUUUUUUGCAUAUUUAAAAACUGCAACUAAAUCUUAAUGCCUCUGAAGCAGAUGGAAGAAAAUAAUAGGCUUCCAUUAACUGUGUCAAAUUGUAUAGGUCUUGGCCAUCACUGGUCCUGUUGUGAUGAAGGUUUUUUGCCCUUGGAUAUAAUUUAAUUUUCAAUUCUUCUAAUUAUGGUACUUCAGAACAUCAAUAUUUGAGAUGAACUUCUCUAGUGUCAAGGACUGAUUUGAGUUGUGUAAACCCUGAAUAUCUGAGACAGGUCUCGAUUAUUUUAGAAAGUUUAUUUUGCCAAGGUUGAGGAUGUGUGCCUGUGACACGGCCUCGGGAGGUCCUGAGGACAUGUGCUCAAGGUGGUCAGAGCACAGCUUUGCUUUAUACAUUUUAGAGAGACAUGAGACAUCAACCGACAUAUGUAAGAUGAACAUUGGUUCCAUCUGGAAAGGCGAGACAACUUCAAACGAGGAGGGGGCUUCCAGGUCAUAGGUAGAUAAGAGACAAAUGGCUGCAUUCUUUUGAGUUUCUGAUUAGCCUUUCCAAAGGAGGCAAUUAGAGUGAGCAAAAUGAACAAAAUCAAUUAUUUUGAUUCUGAACAAAAUGGGAGGCUGGUUUUCCCUAAGCAGUUCCCAGCUUGACUUUUCCCUUUAGCUGAGGGAUUUGGGGGGCCCAAGAUUUAUUUUUCUUUCACCGUUGUAUCAAACUACACAGGCGGCCUUGGAAACCAUCACAGUUGAGAGUAGGUAACGCCCAUUUGUUGCAUAGUUUUGUGCUCCACACUCUUAUCUACAAAAUUAUGAAUUUUUUUACAUAUAUUAAUUUCAGAAAAACUAAAAAUAAAACAAAGUAGUUUCAAACUAGUAUUGUUUUUAUAUCUUAAAAAUAAAGCUUUAUAUACUCUCCUUAC
rnacentral:lncRNA from 1 species